rnacentral:lncRNA from 1 species
CUCCGGACGCCGCCCCUGCUCUCGCCGGCCGCCGGACGACGCCCUGCUUCCGCUCCGUCCACCUCGACCUCCUCACCAGCCAGCACCUCAACCGAGCUCGGUGAGCGCCUCACCUCCUCUCUGUCUCGCCGACCUCCUCACGGACCAACAUUUUGUUGCCACUGAUUGAUAGUCCUGUGUGUAUGCUGCCCCUGAUUGAUAUUGGUACUGCUUGAUCUGGCUAGUCUUGUGUAUAUGCUGCUACUGAUUCAAAUGGGCAGUGGGCAUUUUAUUGCUAUUGCUAUGAUUCAAGUGCCUGAUAUGGCCCUCAUUUUCCUGCUAGACCUCGUUGUGUUGAUAUGUGCAUCUAAUAGAUGUGGAAGGGGAAUGGCAAGUCCGUACCAAGAUGGGAGAGUGGCAAAUGCGAGUGCAAAAUAGACCG